rnacentral:rRNA from 1 species
GGACUACUGGGGUUUCUAAUCCUGUUUGAUCCCCACACUUUCGUGCCUCAGCGUCAAUUUUAGUUUAGCCAGCUGCCUUCGCAAUCGGUGUUCUGUGUCAUAUCUAAGCAUUUCACCGCUACACGACACAUUCCGCCAACCUCAACUAAAUUCAAGACUAAUAGUAUCAAUGGCAGUUUUCGAGUUAAGCUCGAAGUUUUCACCACUGACUUAAAAGCCCGCCUACGCACCCUUUAAACCCAGUAAAUCCGGAUAACGCUUGCACCCUCCGUAUUACCGCGGCUGCUGGCAC